rnacentral:rRNA from 1 species
UACGUAGGGUGCGAGCGUUAAUCGGAAUUACUGGGCGUAAAGCGUGCGCAGGCGGUUUUGUAAGCCAGAUGUGAAAUCCCCGGGCUCAACCUGGGAAUGGCAUUUGGGACUGCAAGGCUGGAGUACGGCAGAGGAGACUGGAAUUCCUGGCGUAGCAGUGAAAUGCGUAGAUAUCAGGAGGAAUACCGAUGGCGAAGGCAGGUCUCUGGGCUGAUACUGACGCUCAUGCACGAAAGCGUGGGGAGCAAACAGG